GACGAACGCUGGCGGCGUGCUUAACACAUGCAAGUCGAGCGGUAAGGCCCUUUCGGGGGUACACGAGCGGCGAACGGGUGAGUAACACGUGGGUGACCUGCCCUUAGCUCUGGGAUAAGCCUGGGAAACUGGGUCUAAUACCGGAUAUGACUCCAUGACGCAUGUUGUGGGGUGGAAAGCCUUGUGCGGCUAGGGAUGGGCCCGCGGCCUAUCAGCUUGUUGGUGGGGUGAUGGCCUACCAAGGCGACGACGGGUAGCCGGCCUGAGAGGGCGACCGGCCACACUGGGACUGAGACACGGCCCAGACUCCUACGGGAGGCAGCAGUGGGGAAUCUUGCGCAAUGGGCGAAAGCCUGACGCAGCGACGCCGCGUGAGGGAUGA
rnacentral:rRNA from 1 species